rnacentral:tRNA from 2 species
GCGGGCGUAGCUCAGUUGGUUAGAGCGCCGGCCUGUCACGCCGGAGGCCGCGGGUUCAAGUCCCGUCGUCCGCGCCA